GAUGAAGAACGCAGCGAAAUGCGAUAAUUAAUGUGAAUUGCAGAAUUCCGUGAAUCAUCGAGUCUUUGAACGCACAUUGCGCCUCAUGGCAUUCCGUGAGGCAUGCCCAUCUCAGCGUUAGAAAAUAUUCUCAAAUUUUAGUUUUGUGCUAAAAUUUGGAUCAUGUCAAGGAAGCUAUUACUAUUAUUGUGAUCGCUCUUUGGAAAUUGAUAGGUCUUGAGUUGCUACUCAUAGAACGUGAUGAAUCUUUCUUCGUUCUAUUGUAAUUCACUCUGGUAGGCCUAAAACUUGUAUGCCUGUGGCAUAUCUUGUAAUUUGACCUGAGAUUGGGUAGGGAUACCCGCUGAACUUAAGCAUAUCAAUAAGCGGGAGGA
rnacentral:misc_RNA from 1 species